rnacentral:rRNA from 1 species
UUACCAGGACUAACUAGAAAGCACCUAAAUCCGGAAGUAAUCUUAAAAAAAAUAUUCAAUUAUGGGAAAAAGGAGCAAUAUUGUACUCCUUCCGUCCAAAAACAGAAAUUGCGUUUUCAUUAUGGUCCGACAGAAGGACAAUUACUUAGAUAUGUACAUAUCACUAGAAAAGCAAGAAUGUCAACAAGCCAGGUUUUACUACAAUUACUUGAAAUGAAUUUGAAUAAUAUCCUUUUUCGAUUGGGUAUGGCUUCAACCAUUCCUGGGGCCCGCCAACUAGUCAACCGUACACAUAUUUUAGUUAAUGGUCGUAUAGUCAAUAUACCAAGUUUUGGUUGCAAACUCUGAGAUAUUAUUACUACGAAAAAUAAUCAAAGGUCAAAAGGUUUGGUUCAAAAUUAUACCCACCUGAUAAGUGCCACAUGUGUGGCAUGA